rnacentral:misc_RNA from 1 species
GGAUUUUAAGGUGAGAGUUCAGGUUUUGGAAAAUCAUGAUGGAGAAAGUUCUGUACAAGAUCUUGAUGAUUCACCUGCUUCGAUUGAGCUACAACACAUUUCUGAUGAACCCCAAUUUGAUCGAGUUAUAGCUGAAGCACAACAGCUUGAUGAAUCUAUUGUGAUUCUAUGGAUGGCAAACUGGUGCCGCAAAUGCAUAUACUUGAAACCAAAAUUGGAAAAACUGGCUGCUGACUACUUCCCAAGAACACGCUUUUACUCUGUUGAUGUCAAUAAUGUUCCACACAAGCUUGUGGUUCGCGCUGGAGUAACUAAAAUGCCGACCAUACAGUUAUGGAGGGAUGGGAAGAAACAAGCGGAAGUAAUUGGCGGCCACAAAGCAUAUGUAGUCGUUAGUGAGGUACGCGAUAUGAUUGAAAAUGAAGAUAAUUUGUGACUUGAAGACAUAUCCUAUACUUCCAUUAGAAUCCAUUUUCCCAGUUUUGUUCUGGUUCAUAUCCUAUAUACAUUUACUUCAGAUGUACUUUUGAAAAGGUAAAAUAUACACACAGAUUGAUUUUGUUUUAUUUUUUUGAAACAC